AGUGAACGCUGGCGGUAGGCCUAACACAUGCAAGUCGAACGGCAGCACAGGAGAGCUUGCUCUCUGGGUGGCGAGUGGCGGACGGGUGAGGAAUACAUCGGAAUCUACUUUUUCGUGGGGGAUAACGUAGGGAAACUUACGCUAAUACCGCAUACGACCUACGGGUGAAAGCAGGGGACCUUCGGGCCUUGCGCGAUUGAAUGAGCCGAUGUCGGAUUAGCUAGUUGGCGGGGUAAAGGCCCACCAAGGCGACGAUCCGUAGCUGGUCUGAGAGGAUGAUCAGCCGCACUGGAACCGAGACACGGUCCAGACUCCUCCGGGAGGCAGCAGUGGGGAAUAUUGGACAAUGGGCGCAAGCCUGAUCCAGCCAUACCGCGUGGGUGAAGAAGGCCUUCGGGUUGUAAAGCCCUUUUGUUGGGAAAGAAAUCCAGCUGGCUAAUACCCGGUUGGGAUGACGGUACCCAAAGAAUAAGCACCGGCUAACUUCGUGCCAGCCGCCGCGGUAA
rnacentral:rRNA from 1 species